UAUUUUGUUGUGUCAUGUGACAGAGCCUUGAGUAAAUUGGUAACAGAGCAGAACGCCUUAGGAUUAAAUCAGAUAUAUAUUUAUAUUCAAGUACUGAUAUUGAGGACAUAUUGAAGAAAGCUCAGCUUCUUUCCCCUCGUGCUAUGGUUGUUGAUUCAAUAAAAACUCUUGAUCCUAUUAACACUGUUAGUAGUUUUCCUUCAACUCUAUUAACACUUUUCUUUUUCUAUCAUUUGCCAAUGUCUUUGAAUUUAACAUUUUGUUUUGAUUUAUGUAUUCUCCAGUGGUUAGAGCAAAAGGUUUAGUUGAAUGAUGCUGAGCACAAGUUAAAAGAUCAAGGAUGUCAACUAAAGGUUCAACAAAAAAGAAUUGGUUCUAUUAAAAAGACAAUUCAUGCUUUGUAUAAAAAGUUGAAUCUCCCACUUCCUUCAACCUUGUCUGAUCCUGCAGAAGAUGAGCUUGGGACAUGCUC